rnacentral:rRNA from 1 species
GACGUAGGGCGCGAGCGUUGUCCGGAUUUAUUGGGCGUAAAGAGCUCGUAGGCGGCUUGUCGCGUCGACUGUGAAAACCCGAGGCUCAACUUCGGGCUUGCAGUCGAUACGGGCAGGCUAGAGUUCGGUAGGGAGACUGGAAUUCCCGGUGUAGCGGUGAAAUGCGUAGAGAUCGGGAGGAACACCAGAGGCGAAAGCGGCGACCUGGACAGGUACUGACACUCAACUACGAAAGCGUGGGAGCAAACAGG